GUGGGGAAUUUUGGACAAUGGGCGCAAGCCUGAUCCAGCAAUGCCGCGUGCAGGAAGAAGGCCUUCGGGUUGUGAACUGCUUUUGUACGGAACGAAACGGUCCUGGUUAAUAUCCGGGGCUAAUGACGGUACCGUAAGAAUAAGCACCGGCUAACUACGUGCCAGCAGCCGCGGUAAUACGUAGGGUGCGAGCGUUAAUCGGAAUUACUGGGCGUAAAGCGUGCGCAGGCGGUGUUGUAAGACAGGCGUGAAAUCCCCGGGCUCAACCUGGGAAUUGCGCUUGUGACUGCAAGGCUGGAGUGCGGCAGAGGGGGAUGGAAUUCCGCGUGUAGCAGUGAAAUGCGUAGAUAUGCGGAGGAACACCGAUGGCGAAGGCAAUCCCCUGGGCCUGCACUGACGCUCAUGCACGAAAGCGUGGGGAGCAAACAGGAUUAGAUACCCGGGUAGUCC
rnacentral:rRNA from 1 species